GACCUUUGGUCCACUGGGCUAAGAGGAUCUCUUUCCUCCUCAGCCAGGGCUUGAGGCCAAGAUCAGCCCUUGAAGACCAUGGGUCAUCAUCAUAAGGAGUGGCAUGAGUGGGCAACCCUGUUUUCCCACUCGAGACAAUC
ensembl:scaRNA predicted gene, 26215